rnacentral:rRNA from 1 species
AUGGCGGAGGCGGAAGAGUCGGCGGCAUUCGCGGCCGUCGGUGGUGCUCGCUGGACCGGAGCGGCUUCACCGGAGCAACUACAGAUUGAAGGCGGGUUCGCGAUGUGUCGGCGUUCCUGCCGGCGGCGGAGUCCUGUGCUUGCCGUUUUCCGUCGCACUGGGCAGUUCGUCGCCGUCGCGGUGGCGGUCAUGCCGCAAAAGAAGAAACGUACUCGUAACAGGGCCUCUCAGGAACGACUGACUUCAUUGACUGACAGAUUUACCGACGAUCAGAAGGGAGCUGCUGCUGAGAUGGGUAUGCAGGCUCUGAUGGAUGUCCGGUGCACGAAUCUAGUCAACCAUAUAUGCGACUGGCUUGGUGAGAUCUACGACCCUGCCUCGAGGGAAUUUGUGAUUCCGGGACGUGCAAGACUGCCGUUGGAUGAGGAAUCCAUGUUCUGCACUCUGGGUGUGCCACGUGGAGAGAUCAAAGUCCCGUAUGAGGUCAAUAAUAAGAUCGAGAAAGCGUUGUUCCCCCGUUUGUUUCCUGGGUUGGAAUCCAUGCCGAACACGACUUUCCUGGCAGAUUCGCUGCAGACCAUGACAACCCAUGGCGAGGUCUCUAAGAUGAAACUACUCAUGUACCUCAUCUCUGCUGUUUUCGCGCCGACCACUUCUCUUCGGCCAAGAAACAAAUGCUUCCCCAUCCUGGCGAAACUAAAAGAUGUGAAGAACAUGAAUUGGUGUAAGUUCAUUGCCGACUUCCUGCAUGACGCACUCUCAAGCAAGAUGUACCAGAAGGGUUGUUGA